GGCUAGGUAGCUCAGUUGGUUAGAGCGCACGGUUCAUACCCGUGUUGUCGGCGGUUCGACUCCGCCUCUAGCCA
rnacentral:tRNA from 1 species